ensembl:lncRNA
CAGGGAAAGUAGAAUGAAAUAAUGGGAUUGCUUUUAACCAAAGAUAUUGUAGUUUCAUGGAUGCAGAAGAUGGACUGGGUACUGAAUAUGUCCCUUGAAUUUAUAUAAUGAAUGGGAAACCCGUCUCAAAAAUAAGGGCUUUUGUUUGGCUCCUAAUUGUGUGUGAAUUGAUUGUUUUAGACCAAGCUGUUGAAGCAACAUCAGUCAUGGGCUGAGGCUUCAGGGUGUGUUCAGAAUGGCCUUAGUGUGCAACACAUUUUAACCUGGGAUGACGAGGGAGAUCUGGGACGGAGAUAUCAAAUAGCAUCGUAAAAUGGUUUUAGAAAACUACAGCAUCCCCUAGCAAACAAAGUAAACAUGUUAAAUGUUUUCAAAGGUCCUGGGUAUUGAUCAAAACAACAAACCCAUUACGUAUUAUAUUGCAUUUUAUUGCCUUUUGUAUUGCCUUUUAUUGUCAACUGGAUUUACAGUGAUACAAUUAUACUAUGUUAGUAUUUUGUUUAUUACGCUUCUGUUUUUGAUUCUCCAAAAUAUAGAAACUUUAUAUUGCUUUAUGUUAUGGCAGAAAGUAUUUCUUCCCUGAGUUUGGUUCUAAGAGAUGAGAGGUCUGAUCUGAAGUCAGUGGAAUCUGAGUGCUUCCUCUGGUUUGGUACACCUGAGGAGUCAGAGCAACUGACCUAGGUUCAGCCAUGGUGCAGUCAGAUAGUUUGUCCCUGUGAACUGAUUAAUACAGCCUAGUGAACCUCAGAGGUCAUGGCCUUGAUUUUAAACCAGACCCCUUUCAAAGAAAGAGAUGCCAAUUGACACAAUCCAAAGGGAAGAUCCUUGGCUUUUCAUUAUGAGACAUCUUUCUCUAAAAUACUGACACAUCAGCAACACAGGGAUAAACUCCUGGUUUGACCGUAGAAGUCGUAGUCUGAGUCCAUCACUACCAAAAAGGGGAUGUCCUAAACUAAGGAAUGACAUCAGGAGAAAACAAUGGAAAGAAUCUGAUUAAUCUCUCAAUCUGCCAAACUGGAAAUAACUGAUGCAUAUCCGUUAGUUAGUAGCAGAAACUCUGAUCAUAGGAAA